rnacentral:pre_miRNA from 1 species
AGUGGAGUUGCUGGGUCAUAUGGUAACUCUGUGUUUAGCUUUUUGAGGAGCUGCCAGACUGUUUUCCAAAGCAGCUGCACCAUUUUACACUCCCACCUGCAAC